GAAAUGCGAUAAGUAAUGUGAAUUGCAGAAUUCAGUGAAUCAUCGAAUCUUUGAACGCACAUUGCGCCCUAUGGUAUUCCGUAGGGCAUGCCUGUUCGAGCGUCAUUACACACCUCAAGCUCUGCUUGGUAUUGGGCGUCGUCCCCCAAACGGACGUGCCUCAAAGACCUCGGCGGUGGCGUCUCUGCCUCAAGCGUAGUAAUAUUCUUAUCUCGCUUUGGAGUCGGAGGCGUCGCCCGCCGGACGAAACCUUUAUUACUUCUAUCAAGGUUGACCUCGGAUCAGGUAGGGAUACCCGCUGAACUUAAGC
rnacentral:misc_RNA from 1 species